UACGUAGGGUGCGAGCGUUAAUCGGAAUUACUGGGCGUAAAGCGUCCGCAGGUGGCUGUGUAAGUCUGCUGUCAAAGAGCGAAGCUCAACUUCGUAAAGGCAGUGGAAACUACACGGCUAGAGUGCGUUCGGGGCAGAGGGAAUUCCUGGUGUAGCGGUGAAAUGCGUAGAGAUCAGGAAGAACACCGGUGGCGAAGGCGCUCUGCUAGGCCGCAACUGACACUGAGGGACGAAAGCUAGGGGAGCGAAUGGG
rnacentral:rRNA from 1 species